rnacentral:rRNA from 1 species
AUGUACACGGCUUUCCAGGUGGACGAAGAUACGUUCAAGGUGUGUUCUAUCAUGGGCAUGUCGGAUUCAGAACCUGAAGACCCAGACAAGGGAAGGAACUACUUUGUGAAGGCAUCGAUAAGCGAAGGCGAGUACUACUGCCAAUGCUGCAAAUUCGAACGGGACGGGAUUGUGUGCUGUCACAUUCUAAAAGUAAUGGACUUGAACGCGGUGACACGAAUGCCCCGCCAUUUCAUAAGGCGGCGAUGGACUUGGGACGCUGACGACGCAUUGGCGCCGCAAACAUCAAACGGAGUUUUGGCCGUGCAUGACGAGAGACCAGAGUCCACCAUGGAAGCCGUGAGGCAUGUUGUGUUGACAAAGAACUAUGCUGAACUAAUUGAUGAAGCGUGCAAGAGUGAUGAGACAUCAAGAGUCGCAGAAAAACACAGGAAGGCCCUCAAAAGAGAGCUUGAUGAGAUCAAGAAGAGGAAAGCUAAGGAAGCCUUACACAGGUUCCCCCGCACAUCAAGUGUGCCUUCGUCCACAGGGCCAUCAUCUGAAAACUCGGAGGUAGGAUCUGGAACAGCAAGCACACAAACACAGGUUACGAACCCGCCCCGUUCCAUCACAAAAGGGCGUCCAAAAGAGAUAAGAUACAAAUCGGGAUUGGAGAUUCAAGCAAAACACAAGAAACCAAAGAAAGGGACGGGCAAUCCGUAA